CGGUGGGGGUGGAGCAGCCAGGAGGGCCAAGAAGCUAGCGGUGGGGUUAGAGGAGCAGGGGAGGGCCAAGAAAGCCGGCCGGCGGCGGCCGGGGCGGGCGCGGAGAGGGCCUAUGCAGCGGCCGCGGGCGGGGCGGCGGCGGCCAGGGCCAGGGAGGACGAGGUUGCAUCCAUCAACGAGAAGCGGCCGAUCCACCUGCGUGCCGUCACUGCUGGGAUAGCGAAGGUCAGCGAAAAAGGUCAUCGUGAGGGCACACCGCCGUCUCCCUCUCCCCUGGUGGCACCUCCCUAUGUACCAUUGAUUGUGCCUCAGCUUCGUAGCCGAUCUUCUAUCGUCCAUGGCAUCAACACACAAAUUGAUAAUGGAAACCUCAGGUUUCUUCAGCAGCCUGGGGUUGUUAAGAAGAGGGUCGGGAUUGCCCUGGGCAGAUGCUUAAAUUCCUGGAUGUAAACGCACACUUGCAUCCUACACAGGCCAAAAUACUAUUGGAGCUUGCUUGUGGAAAAACUGGUUCUCGUUCAGUUAUGCAUGUCAGUCUGAUAGAAGAUGGACACCCCUCUUCAAGUUGGUUUAUGGGCUUGCGGAGUGUGAGAAACCCUUGAUACGCCUCCAUCCUUCGUCCCUUGCUCCGUGGACCGGAUGUCGAGGGAGGGCAAGAGGCGGUGAUAUGCAGGGGUGAGGGAGAUGGAGGCGGUGACCUGCAGCUCCUAUUGAAGGGCAGAGAAGAGGGGGUGCUCGUGUGGAAGAACGGUUUUAGAUUAUCUCUUUACCUGUUUAUUUCUUGUCAUUGGUCUUGAUUUCCUGAUAUACAAUUUAUCUAAAGACCACAAUCUUCUAGAUCUCAGAAAGAAGAUUUAACCGAAGAAUCCAAUAGAAGAUUUGGUGAAGAACAAGGUUACUUGGCUUCUUCUUUCAACCAAUCUGUUAAAAUUAUAGUGCAUUUUUUGUGGGGCAGGUUAAAGAGCCCAUGUUAUUUUUCUUGGCUUAUAUUCAGAAGAUUUUAUUUCUGUACGCCUACAAGGUGUUCGACGAAAAUCCCAGAAGGCUGGCAGGGGAAGAAUGAUCUAUGUCAUCCGCAAGUAGAACAUUCCAGUACCACUCUAUCGGUGUUUGGCCUGAAUCUGAAUAACGAAAUCUCAUGACCCGGUUACACAACAUAAGUUGGAAGUAAUGUAUAAGGGGAGUUGCAUCCCUGGUAGAGGUGAAGAUCAAGGAGGUCGGCAAAUGGGAUGAGGUUGGGUGAUGUUCACUAAGGAGGAAAAAGGUGCAUGUCCCGGUUUUUUUGGUGAUGGCAACGGCAUAUUUCCUUCAGUGAAGGAAGGAAUUCUCUGCCGGAAGCUUGGCACAGGUAUGUCUGAGCGUCUUAUUUGUUAGUGUUGCUAGCUCUGGGAAAUGCGUGCCGAGUGGUUGUUGGCUUGUUGCAUGUAUGUUAUUGCUACAUUAAUUAAUUAAUUUUAGGUGAGAGAAAAGGUUUUUUGUUUCCUACGUCGUUGUUUCAGUUAGUAGUGAAUAUUGAUGAUGCCCAUGAAAAAUUUCAAGACAUCGCUGAACUGUAUCUCGUCAUUUGACAACUUUGAUUUCUGAUUAGCGUGUCGAUCCCCACCAAUAUUUAUGUCAAAAAGGAAAUUAGUUGUAAUUUGAGACUUACUACACCAAAAUUAUUCUUUUAAACAAGGGUAUUAGUGCGUGGAUGGCAGAUCAGGAUCAGCCUCAUAAAAAUCUUAUAUUCCCUGAGGAGGUUCUACCACGUGGAAACGCUCAGUUUCAUGGCAUGAUAGUAUCUAAACAGAACGACCUUUUAGUUUGUAGAUAACAAAACAUAGAGUUAGAUGAAAGACAUAUAUGAUUCACUUGUCACUGAAGAGAAAUAAUCACAUCUGGACAAGCACCUCAAAAUGUCUUUUUGUACAAUGCCUCAAAGAACCACUGGCUACUGAAAGAUACACAUAUUGGUUUCAGAGUUUUAUUCUUCGUGUUCUGAAUGAGCUGACAGGGAAGAAAUCUUGGUUUCAAAGUUCUCUCUGUCAGUGGCUAGCUGAGUCUGGUCUACUUUUCUAACUUUGCUAUCUGGCAGAUAUAGCUAUUUGAUUUUCCUAUUCAAUUAGGAAGUCUUUUGAGGAGGUUGAAAUGAGUUAUAUUUUUGGCAUGAUUGAUGGCUAUUUGUAUAUUGAGUCAUGUUAAUGGUGUUCUUUAUUUGUUCAUGGGUCAUAUUGUUUGUUUAGUCUUAUGGUUUAGGCGUUUGUCCUGAUAGUUUUGAUAUGUGUAUACAGUCAUUUUGGAAUAGGGUAUGAUUCUUUUUGGGUUUUUCAUUCUACGCAUUGGUUCUAAGAAUCUUGAUAUCCAGCUGUGUUGUUGUAGAUUUGUAAAUUUUCGCUUGGGAUCCAUCAAUUCAGUCAUGUUGGAGUAGGCUAUAUGAUUUUUUUAGUUCUGACCACAUAUCCUUCUUGUUUCAGUCUGUACGAUAUCGAAGACUGUUGAUCUUUGGUCUGUUCACCAUGGUUUCCUCCCUUCCUUGUUUCUGUUAUGCUCUUGUGAUGCUCUGCAUCUGUGCUAAUCCACACAACUUGCUGGUCUCCAACUUAUUUUUUUUCUCACCCUCUACAUUUGUGUAUGUAGUUAUGCAUGCCCACUUAAAAAUGAACGAGGCUAAGCUGCAGCUGCAGCUGCAGGUAUAUCUCCUUAAAAUACCCAUGGUGUCAGACGUGUUUUAUUCCACUACAACCAAGAAGAUAAACGUGGCAGCUGAGCCUAUAGUUCCUGCUGAGGAACAUCCCAAGGUUGAUAGUGACACUGCAGAUGGAGCUUCUCUAACCGCUAUUGAAGACACCGUUGUUCAUUUUAACCAGCCAAAGACAAAAGCGCUAUUAUGUAGGCAUGCUUUAAAAACUAGAGUCUUUGUCUGGUCGAGGAGCCUUGCCAAAGCGUUAGUGGAAUCUCUCCGAGUGGUAUGAAGCAUAUUCUAUGUACGUAUCACCCAGAAGCAGAUGAUAAUCAUAUAGAAGCGGAGAAUUAGCCUUGCCAAAAUGUUUGUCAAAUCUUUGCUCGAGUAGCCUUGCCAAACUCUAUGUGUUGUGUUCUUUACAUGUUUUCAUUUACAUUCUCCGGUGUAAAAUUUCCUUUUCAGUCAAACAAAAUUUUCUUUGCGAUUUUUUUGAA